UUGUUUUAUGAGUUGGUGGUGUGAGACU
rnacentral:piRNA from 1 species